CGGCGAUCGAGGCCGGCGAGCCCGGCAGGUGCGCCCGAGAUGCCAUUGAAGCGACCAGCACGCUGUCAGGAGGGAAGCUCGAGCUCGAGGCGCGCUGGUGGUCGGGGAGCUUGACUGUGAGACUGGAUGGACGAUUAGUGCUAGCUAGAGGGAGGAUGGACUCAUGGACCGGGGCGGCGGGGCGGGUGCGGCCGAGUAAUAAGGCGGCGGCGGCGGUUGGGGAGGGGAGUGGUGGAGGUGGUGGAAGUGGUCGCGACCCGCACGGCCAGCGCUCGCUUGCGGAGCAGGGGGGAACGUGGGAUGUGCCGACGUG
rnacentral:misc_RNA from 1 species